GGAGACUGCGGUGAGGCUGUAGAGAGGUUUUACUGGUUGAAGAAGAUCACCAGGAUGGAGUUGCACCCCAUGAACAUUCUGGAAAAAACCACACGAUCAUUUGUGUCAGCAUUGGCACAAAAUUGUCAGCCAGUUCUCUUUGGAUGUUGGAACCGUCAGACUGGAUCAGACUCAUGGUCCAGCUAGGACUCAACAAAUGUGGACUUACCUGUGGUGCUCUGUGCGAGAACUUGUGUUAAGGGCAGCAGCAGAAGGAGCGCAGCAGCAGGGAACUGAUUAGAAACUGCCAUGCGGGAAGCAGAAGGAAGCCCACGUCUUUUGGCAAAUGUAAUCCACCACUUUUUUCUCCGUAUUGUCACUGAAGCAUGCUCACCCAUUCACUGCCCCAGGAAGAAAAGAACACUGCAUGUCUGGAGCAGACACCCACCUGCUGCACUUCAACCUUUGCCUCCCUGCUUUAUUGUUUAACUUAUUUAUGACUUAUUUACUGGUUCCUGUUUUCAGAAUGCGAUAGGCUCUGGAUCUCUGGAUUUUUAACUGCAUUAGGAUUUGGUGUUGAAUACCCCCCAAAUAAACAUGGGGAGGGGGCGCUUUGGCACCUGUUAAGUUGACUGUCAGUGGCAGGUGCGAUUGUAAUCAUCAGAGCGCAUGCUGGCAUGUCGUACUGAGCC